GUCUAUGGCCAUGCCACCCUGAACGUACCAAAUCUCAUUUGAUCUCAGAAGCUAAACAGGGUCGGGCCUGGUUAGUACUUGGAUGGGAGACAAUCUAGGAAUACCAGGUGCUGUAGGCG
rnacentral:rRNA from 1 species